AAUGAGCGAAAGCUUGACGCAGCGACACCGCGUGUGGGAUGACGGUUCUAGGAUUGUAAACCACUUUCAGGAGGGAAGAAAAUGACGGUACCUCCACAAGAAGACCCGGCCAACUACGUGCCAGCAGCCGCGGUAAUACGUUGGGGUCAAGCGUUGUCCGGAUCUAUUGGGCGUAAAGAGCUCGUAGGCGGUUCAACAAGUCGGUCGUAAAAGUUAGGGCUCAACCCUAAAAUGCGAUCGAUACUGUUGGACUAGGAUACGGUAGAGGUGAAUGGAAUUCCGAGUGUAGCGGUGAAAUGCGUAGAUAUUCGGAGGAACACCAAUUGCGAAGGCAGUUCACCGGACCGUGAUCGACGCUGAGGAGCGAAAGCUAGGGGAGCAAACAGGAUU
rnacentral:rRNA from 1 species